AGGGGGCUAGUCUAAAAAAGACCUUUGAUUUCGGCUCAUAAAAUUGUGGUUUAAAUCCACGGCCCCCUU
rnacentral:tRNA from 1 species